CCUACGGGAGGCAGUAGUGGGGAAUAUUGGACAAUGGGCGAAAGCCUGAUCCAGCCAUGCCGCGUGUGUGAAGAAGGCCUUCGGGUUGUAAAGCACUUUCAGUGGGGAAGAAAGCCUUGGGGCUAAUACCCUCGAGGAAGGACAUCACCCACAGAAGAAGCACCGGCUAACUCCGUGCCAGCAGCCGCGGUAAUACGGAGGGUGCGAGCGUUAAUCGGAAUUACUGGGCGUAAAGCGCGCGUAGGCGGUCUGAUAAGCCGGUUGUGAAAGCCCCGGGCUCAACCUGGGAACGGCAUCCGGAACUGUCAGGCUAGAGUGCAGGAGAGGAAGGUAGAAUUCCCGGUGUAGCGGUGAAAUGCGUAGAGAUCGGGAGGAAUACCAGUGGCGAAGGCGGCCUUCUGGACUGACACUGACGCUGAGGUGCGAAAGCGUGGGUAGCAAACGGGAUUAGAUACCCGAGUAGUC
rnacentral:rRNA from 1 species